rnacentral:lncRNA from 1 species
AUGCGAUGCGAGACGCGUUUGCCCAACAGCCACAAAGGAGCACAAAGUGAAGUGACCAACUCAACACUACAACUGCGCGCUGCUUUGGAUAAACACAACAGGAAUGCAGAGUUGGUUAUUUGUUGGCGUGGUUAUCAGUGUUUGAUAGUCACGACCACCCCGGUGGACAUUUCUAAUGGUGAGGACAUCCUAUACAUCCCCCCCUCCCUCUCGGCUCCCAUUCCCAAGCUACUAUCCCCUCUCCUUUUAGACUUUGAAUGGAACAGGACUGACCUGUGGCAUAACUCAGCCUUGUUUUUCUACAAGACCUCGGCUCCCCCUCUUAUAUUAACAAUUUAUUUUCAAGUUACGUGGUGUAUUAAAUAUUCAUGGCCCGCAGAACAAAUGGCUGCUGCUACUAUAGAUUGGUAUGACUGUGUGUGCAUGUGUGUGUUUGUGUGUAUCUUCUUUUCAUAAGCUUGUUUGUAUUGAAACUAUAUGUGUUGAGUCAGGAAACAUCUCAAAAUGUUGAAAAGUUAAGUCACAACAGUUCCAGAUCUGAUUCAAGUGAACCAUGUUGACAAUCUGCUGUCGAUAACCAAAGAAUAAAUUGUCUUGUUUGAUUUGGACUUGCUAUUUGGUUUGUGAAACAAACAAAGGUACUUGUACAGAAACAUUCUUACAAUAGAGUUAAAGCUUUUCUACAAUACGUCAAGAAUAGCCUUGAGACUUCAACAGUUAUACGUGUUAACAUGAGACUGGUCUGCGUUGUAAUAACUUACAGUACUAACCUUGUAUGUGCUAAUUUAUAACAAUGUAAGUCCUCAAAUCAGUAAAAACAAUAGCUUUCGCAUGAUACACAGGAUAACUGAACGGGAUGUGAUGUAACUAUUCACAAAACAUUGUUUAUUGUAAAUAACUCCACUCACAGAAAUAAUGUUGGUAUCUCAUAACAAGAGGGUUAUGUUUCGAAACAUUGUCAUUUCAUUGUGUUUUAAACGUAAUGUAUGUUUUUACGAACUAAGUCGAAAUUAUUUUCUCUCGUAAUUGACAAAUGAAUACUAAUUUCAUUAAAAGAACUUGUAUCAAAGCCCAAACACCUUCUUCACAGAAAUGCCUAUCUGCAAAAAAUCACUCUUUCUAUUAUCUGUGUCUUGUCCACUGUACAUAAAGCCAUGUUAGUCCAGCUUAGAACAGCAGUGUUAAAAUCCCCCUCCAGUCAGAUGGCAGCCGACUGUAGGAAAAAAAAAAAAAAAAAGCCAGGCCAUAAAAUGGCAGAUCGUUUUACGAGGAUUUAAUGUUUCAGAGUUGGCCAUCAGGAGAGAUUACACUGUAAGUAAAUUGUGGUUUUUACAGCGUUUUAUCCUGAGGCAAGCAGGCCUGAUCUAGUUCAGCUCACAUCCAAGUGGCCUUUCCAUUCCCGUAACUCUUCCAACAUGAAUGACUGUUAUCGUUGGUUUGCGUUAUGAUACUAUAUUUAAAGAAAGCCGCUAGUUUCAGUUUAGCUCAGGGUAGUAUUACGCCGAAGAACCUAGGAAUGACUGUUAUCGUUGGUUUGCGUUAUGAUACUAUAUUUAAAGAAAGCCGCUAGUUUCAGUUUAGCUCAGGGUAAGUAUUACGCCGAAGAACCUAGAAUUAUACACUCUCUUUUGCUUUUUCUCUGCGUCGGGAUGAGGGAGUGUAUUGUUGAUGGUAUCAGUGGGUGUCUUUAGCUGGAAUCAGGACCAAGACCUGGGCGGCUUGUUUUCAGGACUCAAACAUGAGACGCUCAACAGUCUGGGGCUCGAAUUUAAGCCUGUUGUCUAACCCUCUGUUUCCUGAUGAUUCAUCGGCCGCAGAUGUGUUUAUAUAUAAA